rnacentral:misc_RNA from 1 species
ACCGAGUUUACAAAACUCCCAACCCCUUGUUAACAUACCACUUGUAUUCGUUCCUCGGCGGGGAUCAGCCCCUCACCGGUACAACUGGGGGAGCGGACCCGCCAGAGGGACCCUAAACUCUUAUUAUUAUGUACUUCUGGAGUAUAACCUAUAAAUAAGUUCA